UGCCCAGACUCCUACGGGAGGCAGCAGUGGGGGAUAUUGCACAAUGGGGGGAACCCUGAUGCAGCGACGCCGCGUGGGUGAAGGAGCGUUUCGGCGCGUAAAGCCCUAUCGGCAGGGAAGAAGGAGGACGGUACCUGACUAAGAAGCCCCGGCUAACUACGUGCCAGCAGCCGUGGUAAUACGUAGGGGGCAAGCGUUAUCCGGAUUUACUGGGUGUAAAGGGAGCGUAGACGGCAGCACAAGUCUGGAGUGAAAGGCGGGGGCUCAACCCCCGGACUGCUCUGGAAACUGUAGAACUAGAGUGCAGGAGGGGUAAGUGGAAUUCCUAGUGUAGCGGUGAAAUGCGUAGAUAUUAGGAGGAACACCAGUGGCGAAGGCGGCUUACUGGACUGUAACUGACGUUGAGGCUCGAAAGCGUGGGGAGCAAACAGGAUUAGAUACCCGAGUA
rnacentral:rRNA from 1 species